AGCGUAGACGGCAAGGAAAGUCUGAAGUGAAAGCCCGGUGCUUAACGCCGGGACUGCUUUGGAAACUGUUUGGCUGGAGUGCCGGAGAGGUAAGCGGAAUUCCUAGUGUAGCGGUGAAAUGCGUAGAUAUUAGGAAGAACACCAGUGGCGAAGGCGGCUUACUGGACGGUAACUGACGUUGAGGCUCGAAAGCGUGGGGAGCAAACA
rnacentral:rRNA from 1 species